GAUGAACGCUGGCGGCGUGCCUAAUACAUGCAAGUCGAGCGAACAGACGAGGAGCUUGCUCCUCUGACGUUAGCGGCGGACGGGUGAGUAACACGUGGAUAACCUACCUAUAAGACUGGGAUAACUUCGGGAAACCGGAGCUAAUACCGGAUAAUAUAUUGAACCGCAUGGUUCAAUAGUGAAAGACGGUUUUGCUGUCACUUAUAGAUGGAUCCGCGCCGCAUUAGCUAGUUGGUAAGGUAACGGCUUACCAAGGCGACGAUGCGUAGCCGACCUGAGAGGGGGAUCGGCCACACUGGAACUGAGACACGGUCCAGACUCCUACGGGAGGCAGCAGUAGGGAAUCUUCCGCAAUGGGCGAAAGCCUGACGGAGCAACGCCGCGUGAGUGAUGAAGGUCUUCGGAUCGUAAAACUCUGCUAUUAGGGAAGAACAAAUGUGUAAGUAACUAUGCACGUCUUGACGGUACCUAAUCAGAAAGCCACGGCUAACUACGUG
rnacentral:rRNA from 1 species